GUGCUGCAAACGGGAAGGAGUCAUUCUACACCACGCAGUGCAAGCGCAGAGACAGAGAGGGAGGAGGACGGUGGGCAGCCAGGAGCUCCCGAGGAGCAGCCCUCCCUGACUGCAGCACGCUGCAGACGUGCGCUUUGUCAGAGGCUGGGUAAGUUCAUCGCCAUGGAAAGGAAAUCUAUUAAACGUGCUCUGCGACGAGCCUCCCGGCACAGGGGAAAUCUUCUGCCACAGAACCGCUUUGGAGAAAAGAGAGAGAAAGAUGCUCGGGUGUGCCGCCACCAGCCUUUGCAGAAGCGGUGCCCAAGUCUUCCCGGGGGAAGUUCCUGCAGCGGAGGAGGCGUCCCGCCCGCCGAAAUCUUCAGACCAAAGCAAACUGCCACAGAAAAAUGUCGCAAUUCAACCCAGUUUUGAGGGAAGUGCCCCAAUAACUUCUCAGCUCUAGAGAAGCAGUGGAGGCUGGGGCCACCGAGUCUCCAUGGAAGUCACAGAGGUUCGUCCCCCUGCUGCCUGAAGAAGACCACCUACAACUCAAGGAAAUAAAGACCCCUGUGAAAAAAUACAGGCAAACCCGAUAUUUAAGGGUCAGCUCCCCA